rnacentral:rRNA from 1 species
AGAGUUUGAUCAUGGCUCAGAUUGAACGCUGGCGGCAGGCCUAACACAUGCAAGUCGAACGGUAACAGGAAACAGCUUGCUGUUUCGCUGACGAGUGGCGGACGGGUGAGUAAUGUCUGGGAAACUGCCUGAUGGAGGGGGAUAACUACUGGAAACGGUAGCUAAUACCGCAUAACGUCGCAAGACCAAAGAGGGGGACCUUCGGGCCUCUUGCCAUCGGAUGUGCCCAGAUGGGAUUAGCUAGUAGGUGGGGUAACGGCUCACCUAGGCGACGAUCCCUAGCUGGUCUGAGAGGAUGACCAGCCACACUGGAACUGAGACACGGUCCAGACUCCUACGGGAGGCAGCAGUGGGGAAUAUUGCACAAUGGGCGCAAGCCUGAUGCAGCCAUGCCGCGUGUAUGAAGAAGGCCUUCGGGUUGUAAAGUACUUUCAGCGGGGAGGAAGGGAGUAAAGUUAAUACCUUUGCUCAUUGACGUUACCCGCAGAAGAAGCACCGGCUAACUCCGUGCCAGCAGCCGCGGUAAUACGGAGGGUGCAAGCGUUAAUCGGAAUUACUGGGCGUAAAGCGCACGCAGGCGGUUUGUUAAGUCAGAUGUGAAAUCCCCGGGCUCAACCUGGGAACUGCAUCUGAUACUGGCAAGCUUGAGUCUCGUAGAGGGGGGUAGAAUUCCAGGUGUAGCGGUGAAAUGCGUAGAGAUCUGGAGGAAUACCGGUGGCGAAGGCGGCCCCCUGGACGAAGACUGACGCUCAGGUGCGAAAGCGUGGGGAGCAAACAGGAUUAGAUACCCUGGUAGUCCACGCCGUAAACGAUGUCGACUUGGAGGUUGUGCCCUUGAGGCGUGGCUUCCGGAGCUAACGCGCUAAGUCGACCGCCUGGGGAGUACGGCCGCAAGGUUAAAACUCAAAUGAAUUGACGGGGGCCCGCACAAGCGGUGGAGCAUGUGGUUUAAUUCGAUGCAACGCGAAGAACCUUACCUGGUCUUGACAUCCACGGAAGUUUUCAGAGAUGAGAAUGUGCCUUCGGGAACCGUGAGACAGGUGCUGCAUGGCUGUCGUCAGCUCGUGUUGUGAAAUGUUGGGUUAAGUCCCGCAACGAGCGCAACCCUUAUCCUUUGUUGCCAGCGGUCCGGCCGGGAACUCAAAGGAGACUGCCAGUGAUAAACUGGAGGAAGGUGGGGAUGACGUCAAGUCAUCAUGGCCCUUACGACCAGGGCUACACACGUGCUACAAUGGCGCAUACAAAGAGAAGCGACCUCGCGAGAGCAAGCGGACCUCAUAAAGUGCGUCGUAGUCCGGAUUGGAGUCUGCAACUCGACUCCAUGAAGUCGGAAUCGCUAGUAAUCGUGGAUCAGAAUGCCACGGUGAAUACGUUCCCGGGCCUUGUACACACCGCCCGUCACACCAUGGGAGUGGGUUGCAAAAGAAGUAGGUAGCUUAACCUUCGGGAGGGCGCUUACCACUUUGUGAUUCAUGACUGGGGUGAAGUCGUAACAAGGUAACCGUAGGGGAACCUGCGGUUGGAUCACCU